UAAGCCCAAAGGGCCCAAACCAAAAGACGGUUGAACUAACCCGUCAAACUGCCACCAAAAAUAACCAAGUAGCAAAAACAAAUAUCCAGAAUCUGGUCAUAGAAGGGACAAUUCUAGGGACUGACUAGGACCGGAGAUGUAAGAGGACUGAGGUUCAAGUUCUUUACUGGAAGAGGGUUCUCUAUGAAUAAGCCCUAGAAGCUAGUAAAAGCGAGCAUCAACAGACUGAUCUUGCUUUAUUUAUUCCUUUAGCUUCUUAUUCUCCUCUUUCAAGGAAGCAAUUUCUUCUUUCAGCUUCUCUUUCUUCCCAGUGACACAAUCAAUUCCUCCAAUAGGUUUUUUGCCAUGUUUUUGCUCUUUGUGCCCGGUGCUCUUGCAAUGUGGUCACAUUCCUUUGAAGUUUCCUUAUCAAAUAUAUCUUUCAUAGUUCUUUUUAGGUCCUUUUAGAGGGAUCUUGAAGUUCUCAAACACAGCUAGUCAACAAGAACUCAUAUCAUAGAGCAUAUGUGCCUCUUUCUGGGUCAACUGCCUUUGCCAUACGCUUGAUAAUCAGUACAGGAAAAUUGAUCCAAAACCUCUAUGACUAUCAAGUCCAAAUAUGUGGCCUUAUGCCUCUUUUCUGAUCAAGGCAAUAAACAUUUAUUCAUAAAUUCAAACAAGAGCUUGUGAACCGGCUCUAUCUCCCUUUUUACAAAGUUUUCUUGAGGUUCGAUUCUACCUCUUUUUGGUAUACUUUGAAUUCAAGUACAUAGAAUCCUCAUUUUUCUUCCAAACUUGGCCACCCACGUCACAAAUAGCUGUCAAAGUCAUUUAUCGGAACAAUCAGAAUCAGUCCUAGUAUAUUAGCAUCAAGAACCAAAUCCACUCCACUCAUCUCAGCAUUUAUUGUCCUAUCCUCAAACAACAUAAAGUUCUUGUAAAAAUGAAGCAUUGUUCACCAUAAAUAAUCAGUAUUGGGAAUAAGAACAUGUGUCCGCUUCUAGUGCUCGAUCUUCUCCAACAACUCUUUCAUUAUAAGCAUGUCAAUAGUUGCUGGGUCAAUUACUCUCCUUUUAAGCAUCAUUAGCCCAGAAAACUGGUCUUCCUUGAAUACAAUAAUAUUUUUUUUUUGGAUUCUCUUCUUGCAUUUGGAAUUGGUUUCUUUUUUCUCAGCCUCAUAAAUAACUACUUUUUUUGGAUUCUUCUUUUUCUUAGGUGUGGCUGGAAAUGAUCCAGCCUUCUUAUUCUUCUUCUUCCUGACACGAUCCAAUUUUUUUCAGUAGUAUAUCGUAACGGCACCU
rnacentral:lncRNA from 1 species